GGGAUUAGAUACCCCACUAUGCUUAGCCUUAAACCUAGAUGUUAAAUUUACAAGCAACAUCCGCCAGGGUACUACAAGCGCUAGCUUAAAACCCAAAGGACUUGACGGUGUCUCAGACCCACCUAGAGGAGCCUGUUCUAGAACCGAUAAUCCCCGUUAAACCUCACCACCCCUUGUUUUCCCCGCCUAUAUACCGCCGUCGCAAGCUUACCCUGUGAAGGUCCCAUAGUAAGCAAAAUGGGUAAAUCCCAAAACGUCAGGUCGAGGUGUAGCUCACGAGGUGGGAAGAAAUGGGCUACAUUUUCUAUAUCAGAAUAAUACGAACGGUAUCAUGAAAUUGAUACCCGAAGGUGGAUUUAGUAGUAAAAAACAAAUAGAGAGUCUUUUUGAACCAGGCUCUGAGACGCGCACACACCGCCCC
rnacentral:rRNA from 1 species